rnacentral:tRNA from 1 species
GGACCGGUAGUUCAGUUGGUUAGAAUGCCGGCCUGUCACGCCGGAGGUCGCGGGUUCAAGUCCCGUCCGGUCCGCCA